AUGCAAGUCGAACGCUUCUUUCCCUCCCGAGUGCUUGCACUCAAUUGGAAAGAGGAGUGGGCGGACGGGUGAGUAACACGUGGGUAACCUACCCAUCAGAGGGGGAUAACACUUGGAAACAGGUGCUAAUACCGCAUAACAGUUUAUGCCGCAUGGCAUAAGAGUGAAAGGCGCUUUCGGGUGUCGCUGAUGGAUGGACCCGCGGUGCAUUAGCUAGUUGGUGAGGUAACGGCUCACCAAGGCCACGAUGCAUAGCCGACCUGAGAGGGUGAUCGGCCACACUGGGACUGAGACACGGCCCAGACUCCUACGGGAGGCAGCAGUAGGGAAUCUUCGGCAAUGGACGAAAGUCUGACCGAGCAACGCCGCGUGAGUGAAGAAGGUUUUCGGAUCGUAAAACUCUGUUGUUAGAGAAGAACAAGGACGUUAGUAACUGAACGUCCCCUGACGGUAUCUAACCAGAAAGCCACGGCUAACUACGUGCCAGCAGCCGCGGUAAUACGUAGGUGGCAAGCGUUGUCCGGAUUUAUUGGGCGUAAAGCGAGCGCAGGCGGUUUCUUAAGUCUGAUGUGAAAGCCCCCGGCUCAACCGGGGAGGGUCAUUGGAAACUGGGAGACUUGAGUGCAGAAGAGGAGAGUGGAAUUCCAUGUGUAGCGGUGAAAUGCGUAGAUAUAUGGAGGAACACCAGUGGCGAAGGCGGCUCUCUGGUCUGUAACUGACGCUGAGGCUCGAAAGCGUGGGGAGCAAACAGGAUUAGAUACCCUGGUAGUCCACGCCGUAAACGAUGAGUGCUAAGUGUUGGAGGGUUUCCGCCCUUCAGUGCUGCAGCAAACGCAUUAGGCACUCCGGCUGGGGAGUACGACCGCAAGGUUGAAACUCAAGGAAUUGACGGGGCCGCACAGCGGUGGAGCAUGUGGUUUAUUCGAGCAACGCGAGACCUUACCAGGUCUGACAUCCUUUGACCACUCUAGAAGAUAGAGCUUUCCCUUCGGGGACAAGUGAACAGGGGUGCAUGGUUGUCGUCAGCUCCGUG
rnacentral:rRNA from 1 species